rnacentral:rRNA from 1 species
AGAGUUUGAUCCUGGCUCAGGAUGAACGCUAGCUACAGGCUUAACACAUGCAAGUCGAGGGGCAGCAUGGCGGAUGCUUGCAUCUGCCGAUGGCGACCGGCGCACGGGUGAGUAACGCGUAUCCAACCUGCCCAUAACAUCGGGAUAACCGGUAGAAAUGCCGACUAAUACCGAAUGUGCUCCGCUGAGGACAUCUGACGUGGAGUAAAGAUUCAUCGGUUAUGGAUGGGGAUGCGUCUGAUUAGCUCGUUGGCGGGGUAACGGCCCACCAAGGCAACGAUCAGUAGGGGUUCUGAGAGGAAGGUCCCCCACAUUGGAACUGAGACACGGUCCAAACUCCUACGGGAGGCAGCAGUGAGGAAUAUUGGUCAAUGGGCGCAGGCCUGAACCAGCCAAGUAGCGUGCAGGACGACGGCCCUAUGGGUUGUAAACUGCUUUUAUGCGGGGAUAAAGUCACUUACGUGUAAGUGUUUGCAGGUACCGCAUGAAUAAGGACCGGCUAAUUCCGUGCCAGCAGCCGCGGUAAUACGGAAGGUCCGGGCGUUAUCCGGAUUUAUUGGGUUUAAAGGGAGCGUAGGCUGCCCGGCAAGCGUGCUGUGAAAUACAGUGGCCCAACCACUGGACUGCAGCGCGAACUGUCGGGCUUGAGGGCGCACGACGCAGGCGGAAUUUGUGGUGUAGCGGUGAAAUGCUUAGAUAUCACGAAGAACCCCGAUUGCGAAGGCAGCUUGCGGGAGCGCGACUGACGCUGAAGCUCGAAAGUGCGGGUAUCAAACAGGAUUAGAUACCCUGGUAGUCCGCACGGUAAACGAUGGAUGCCCGUUCUGCGGCCUUCGGGCCGCGGGACCAAGCGAAAGCAUUAAGCAUCCCACCUGGGGAGUACGCCGGCAACGGUGAAACUCAAAGGAAUUGACGGGGGCCCGCACAAGCGGAGGAACAUGUGGUUUAAUUCGAUGAUACGCGAGGAACCUUACCCGGGCUUGAAUUGCAGAGGAAAGAUCCAGAGAUGGAGAUGCCCUUCGGGGCCUCUGUGAAGGUGCUGCAUGGUUGUCGU